CACAGCCUGCGCUUGGAAAAGGUUUCGGCCCGAAUGCUUUGUUCCCAAUGAGUCUAUGGGAAACCUCUAAACAGAACGCUCAAUUAAUCAAAUUGACACUUGAAUUACUGAUGGUCUAUGGCAAUCUCUAAGUUUUUUUCACAAACACACUUAUUGACGAAAUGAGAAACAUUUUUUGGGACGUCUAAAUAUAUGUAUCUACAUACCCACCGUGUAUAGGGAUGUGAGGGGGGGAUAGAAGGGGCCCCCAACCUACAUUCGAGCGUUGGGCUGCUUCGAUCCGCACGUCAAGCGACAGACAAAUGUUGUUUAAUAUGCGACGUUUGACUUUGUGGCCCAUGGAAACAAAAAACAGGAAGUGCGAGUGGCUUGCGUGCGAGUGGCAUGGCAUUGUGGUUGCUUCUGUCCUGUCCGGUGGAGUGAGAAAUGUGUGGGUGGAACUUGAGGGGCACCUGUGCGAGUGUCUGUU
rnacentral:lncRNA from 1 species